GAGAAUUAACAAUCGGGGCGUUUAUGGGCCAGGGGGGUAAAAAAGGCAUUUUCCUUGCUAUUUCAAUAAAAUCAUUUCAAAAUCAAUUUUGAAAUGAUUUUAUUGAAAUAGCAAGGAAAAUGCCUUUUUUACCCCCCUGGCCCAUAAACGCCCCGAUUGUUAAUUCUC
rnacentral:miRNA from 1 species